UGGGGUGUAGCUCAGGAGUAGAGCACUUACCUAACAUACAAGAAGCCCUGGUUUCAAUCCCUAGCACUGCAA
rnacentral:tRNA from 1 species